rnacentral:tRNA from 1 species
GAGGGUAGCUCAGUGGUAGAGUGUGUGCUUAAUAUGCACGAGGUCCUGGGUUCAAUCCCCAGGACCCUCA